GGCGAACGGGUGAGUAACACGUGGGUGAUCUGCCUUGCACUUCGGGAUAAGCCUGGGAAACUGGGUCUAAUACCGGAUAGGACCAUGCUUUAGUGUGUGUGGUGGAAAGAUUUUUCGGUUCUGGAUCGGCUCGCGGCCUAUCAGCUUGUUGGUGGGGUAAUGGCCUACCAAGGCGUCGACGGGUAGCCGGCCUGAGAGGGUGGACGGCCACAUUGGGACUGAGAUACGGCCCAG
rnacentral:rRNA from 1 species